CCAUCCGGACGAGCUGGGGGAGAAAGAGAUGGCAUACGUGCAGAGAGAACUGCAGCCCGUGGAGAAGUGAGGCUCCCCGCGCUGUCAGGGAUCAGUUCCAGGUACAUUGCUACAGUAAAGUUGGAUGUACGCCAGACCGACAUAGCCUUCUGAAACACGCACCUGUCAUCCUCUUCGGCCUCUAACGGAGUUCACCUGCAAUUUAUCCUCAGGCAGCAGCAACCAGUUGUGAAGACACGGAGAAGGUGACAGCCUUACAGGAUCGUGACUAGGGGCAGGACGUACUGAAUGGCAAUGAAAGAGCCUUGCCCUAACCAGAGGAACUCGACUCUAGCACACAGUGCAGAGUAUCAAUGUCUCGACUCAAGUUGCAAAUACAGAAACAGUGUCGGUCACCUGAGACUGAUAAGAGGGGGUGGUCUGGCCAGAAACCCCCAGCUCUGUUUGGGCCAUUUCCAAACACCAGUGGACUGGGACUGUCUGGGAGUCAGAAGGGAGAGAGCGGAUGCUUCUUCAGCAUGCCUGGAGCAGAGGAUAGAAGGGUGGCUUGUGCUCGCCUGCCAGGGCACUGGAGAGACGUGAGGGAGUGGAGCAUAGAGAAGAGACAGAGCCACAGAAUGUGGGUCCAGGAUGUCGAAAAUGUCCUCAGUUCAAUGGCUAGGCAACUGUGUGCUUCCCUGGAUAAAUAUCCUCGCCACGAGCCUGGGGAUGGCUCAAACCACUUCUCCCCUUCCUUCCAAGACUGGUUUGCCUCCCGUCAUCCAGCCCUUACUUACAGACAGCUGUAGGUCCUCUGCACCCACAGACUGAAGAGCCAUGGAACAUAUUGCUCAGCAGCUAAAAUGGACAAUGGCAAAAUUAAGCCUUCAUUGUUGAUUGAUUUGAAAUGUUUAUUGGUGUGAAUCAUCUAGAAACCACCAUAGAUAGUGCUGCCACAGAGGAGGAGUCAAAGAUAUUCAGUUAUAUGCCAGAGACACCAAAGCUCAUGAAAAUACAUUUCUACCCUUGUCUGACUCUCUCCAUUUCAGGACAUGCAUUGAAAGCAAAGAGGAACAAAGGGGAUGCAACCGUUCCAAAGCAUGAUGUGUACUCCUCUAUGAUAAGUUGCUGUUUGACAUUCUGGAGAGGUGUAAUCAUAUAAAGAAAAAGAUGUCUUCCAAGAGUUACACUCCAAUAAAGGAUGAUGAUAAGUCAAACAGAGACCAGAGUUUACAGUCUGGCCUUCUCUGGUCCAAGAGGCUAGAGACCAAUUCUUCCCUCACGCAAUCCUCCCCUCAAUUAAAUAAACUUGUGAUUUAUCUGAGCUUCUCUCUGUUGUAUCUUUGUCUGAAAAUGUUGGAAAUCUGCCAGUGGAAACAGAACACACAUAUCAGUCUGUAAACCUGCAGACCACUUGACUAAGUAUCCAUUUGAGAAGUUAUUGAUUCUAUUGGAGGCUCUGUGGCAUAGGAGGGAAUGGGACUGUGUGGUUGGUAGUUGAAUGAUUUCUUGGAAGCAGAUAUGAUUUGGUGUCUAUAUAUAGGGUCUCAACAGACGGAGCAGUGCGACCUGUACUGUGUCAGCUGACUUCCUGGUCCCAAGUCUCCUUGGCCCCCAAAUGAGAUCCAAGACGCCAUGCUUCCUGGCUGAUUAAAUAAUUUAUUGAAUCCUUGUUGUUGCUGUUGAUUUUCUCCUGUUGUCCUGGGCAUUUCAUUGGCUUGUUUGUUUUCGUCUGUCAGGGGCACAAAGGGAAGGCAAGUUUCUUUUAACGAAAAAGUACAAAAUGCAUUGCCAUAAAGGGAUUUGGGCGGCAUUGGAUCCACUCUAUUAAAGGGACAUUUUCACAAUCAUCUCCAGUAAGUCGGACCCCAGUAAGACUACCUGUCGCCAUUGGCGUCGGCUAAUGGGGAUUCUAAUAAAUAAAAAAAUAUAAGCACCACCCC
rnacentral:lncRNA from 8 species